rnacentral:ncRNA from 2 species
CAAGACGACUCUGGAAAGCGACCCCGAUCAUGGGGUCCACCGAAGGGGUAAGCCGGCGUGCCCGGCGAAAGCUCUCAGGUUUCCGUGACAGAGGGGGCGCG